rnacentral:rRNA from 1 species
UAAUAGCAAUCCGCGUCAGUAAACAAUGUAAUCAAUUACAACUUUCAACAACGGAUCUCUUGGUUCUGGCAUCGAUGAAGAACGCAGCGAAAUGCGAUACGUAGUGUGAAUUGCAGAAUUCAGUGAAUCAUCGAAUCUUUGAACGCACAUUGCGCCCU